UGCUUAACACAUGCAAGUCGAACGAUGACCUCCUUCGGGAGGGGAUUAGUGGCGAACGGGUGAGUAACACGUGGGCAAUCUGCCCUUCACUCUGGGACAAGCCCUGGAAACGGGGUCUAAUACCGGAUACGACACGGGGUCGCAUGACCUCCGUGUGGAAAGCUCCGGCGGUGAAGGAUGAGCCCGCGGCCUAUCAGCUUGUUGGUGGGGUGAUGGCCUACCAAGGCGACGACGGGUAGCCGGCCUGAGAGGGCGACCGGCCACACUGGGACUGAGACACGGCCCAGACUCCUACGGGAGGCAGCAGUGGGGAAUAUUGCACAAUGGGCGAAAGCCUGAUGCAGCGACGCCGCGUGAGGGAUGACGGCCUUCGGGUUGUAAACCUCUUUCAGCAGGGAAGAAGCGAGAGUGACGGUACCUGCAGAAGAAGCGCCGGCUAACUACGUGCCAGCAGCCGCGGUAAUACGUAGGGCGCAAGCGUUGUCCGGAAUUAUUGGGCGUAAAGAGCUCGUAGGCGGCUUGUCGCGUCGGAUGUGAAAGCCCGGGGCUUAACCCCGGGUCUGCAUUCGAUACGGGCAGGCUAGAGUUCGGUAGGGGAGAUCGGAAUUCCUGGUGUAGCGGUGAAAUGCGCAGAUAUCAGGAGGAACACCGGUGGCGAAGGCGGAUCUCUGGGCCGAUACUGACGCUGAGGAGCGAAAGCGUGGGGAGCGAACAGGAUUAGAUACCCUGGUAGUCCACGCCGUANACGUUGGGAACUAGGUGUGGGCGACAUUCCACGUCGUCCGUGCCGCAGCUAACGCAUUAAGUUCCCCGCCUGGGGAGUACGGCCGCCAGGCUAANACUC
rnacentral:rRNA from 1 species